UCAGUUCUGUAAGCUGUCAUGGUUUC
rnacentral:piRNA from 1 species